UGCGAACCUACCGCCCAUGUACUGAACUUUGCGCGAACAUUGGUCAAGUGUUAUCUCAGCCAUCAGUUACUACGAAUGAAAUCGACAGUGUGGUGCAUCAUAUGAUAGUUGAGGCGGGUGCUUCGCCUUCUCCUCUUGACUAUGGUGGAUUUCCUAAAAGUAUCAGCACAUCAGUAAAUGAGUGUGUCUGCGACGGGCUACCCGAUUCAACACAACUGCAGAACGGAGAUAUCACAAAUAUUGACGUAAAUGUGUUCCUGAAUGAUUCAUACCAUACUCUAUAGGGAUACCAUGGUUGAGCUCACUUGGUGGAACUUCCACACAUCUGUAUGUGGAGAAGCGGAUGAAUCUAUCAGACAUUUCCUGGAGGUAAGUUGAUGCUGAUGUGUGAUAUAAUUCAUCCAGUAUACAUAGCUGCUUAGUAAUGAUUUGUGCUUAAUCUCAGUGUUGCAAUAUUUAUGAACACAAUGUUUUCUCUAAUCUAGAAAUCUCUUAAAUUUAAGGAAAAAUCUUUUGAAAGGGCUUUUUUCCAAGCAAUUUCUAAUUUCCUUUUGAUACUAUGUCCUGGAACUCUCAUAGAUUUUACUAUGAUAAAAAUGCUUUUUCAGAAGAUAAAGUGUUGAUUUUAAGAAAGGAAAUGUGUGAGUGCUAUGCUUUGGUAAUUAGGCAUUAUAUGCUUUGGUACAGUACACACUCUUGAUAUCUGUAUCUUAAGUGGAAACAUAUGCCUUUUAAAAUUUCAGACCAAGUUGACAUAUCUUGAUGGAACCUUUGCAUAACCUAUAUAUUGGACGAAGAAUAGUGUGAGGGGUGAAUGAACAAGUGUCAGUCGAAUUGAAUGUGGUGCCGAUACAAUCCGUUGCUUUGUGCAGCAUUCACUUUUUAGUUUCCUAGGCUCUAACCUGAGAUGGAACCCCAUGGUGUACGAACCUGUAGAGCUGCAAGCAUAUCUAUCUAAAAAUGGAGAACUAGCCAAGAAUGACCAAGUGCAGCUCUGUUCAGCUAGAGUUAGCUCGGUUUGUGCAACAAGGGCAUAUGGUUGGUUAAUUUUUUGAACCCUUCUCAUGUAGCAGGUAGUGUUAAACACGUUGACUGAUCUAUUCUGUGUGCGUUCUAUUUUGCUCAGAUUAAUAUCUGGCUGAAAUAGGAACACUCCUUUUACAGAGGUCAAAACAUAAUAGAUAAUGUGUUCUCUAGAUUGAUUAUGGUGUUUACCAAUCAGGAUGUCAAAACUGCACCUUGGGACACGACUAGGCUUUGUCUUAAGAGUGACACCAAUAUACUCUUGUGUUGUGUGAGGCCUUUUUGGCAUCAUCGAUUAAGAACACGGUAUCUUCUAGAGAUGUCCAUCAUAUAUGUUUGUGUGAAUAAAUACAAUACAUUUGCAUGUUUCUUAGUUCUCAAUUAAUACCCAAACUAUCUCAAUACAGUGUUCUCUAUUAAUUCUUAUGUUACUACCUUGGCCCUCUUAUUACUCUCUUUAGUCACCGAUUUACAUAAAUAUUGCGUGCUUCACGAAUGUACAAGUGAAAGCUUCACUGGUGUUAGUUUGAGAAGAAACUUAAGGUCAGCAAACGAGAAGAAAGCUCUGAUAUGUCUGUUGUUACCCACCCAAGCAGAACUCCAUAAUUUUGUUUGUACAUGUAGUAAUUGUAUACUUCAUAGCUUGAGUCUGUAUACAUUUCUGUAUGCCGUUUUCUCAUAUUUUGUGUUUUGAGUUCUGUAGCUAUUUUCAUCCAUUCAUAAUUUUUUUGCAGGGAGAUGGAAUUCAUGGUUUUGUACCAGAAGCUCAAGUUAAUAAAUUUGAGCAUGUUUAGUGGACGGUCAGGUGUACUAUCUUCAGUAUUUUGAAAGUAUGUCUGUUAGAGAAUAGUUCUAGCCAGCCAGUCAUAGGUUUGAGCUGCAUUUCGCAUCAUCCAACCUAUAGAUGAUAGAUACAAGAUAAGUUUUGACCAGAAAUGCUAUGGUACCAUACACUUUCCCUUUAUACUAUUGCAACCUAAGGUCAUUCAAAAGCAUAAUGGUCACCAUUAUGGAUAUUAUACCACUCUUUUGAUUGUCAUGUUAAUAUAUGUGUUAAUCUUGCUAAUUCAAAUAUAGUCUUCUCGAAAUAGGUGUUUUCUUUUUGUUACAAGAUUGGAGUUCAUUCUCUGUUCCAAUGUUUCUUUGAUGCUGAUGGAAAAACACUAUUUUUGGUAGAAUCAUCCAAGUGUAGUAUACUGUUAAAUGGAUUGCUGAAAGAGGGCAACGAUUUCAGUUUACAAAAAGGGAGCCUGCCACUUUGGCUUAUCUGUAUAAGUUCAUACCGCACAAAGUGGUGUUAAUAAGUGGAUUGUAGGAUGUGUUUUUUUCAGAUUGUUAUUUAAUAACACACUAUAUAUGCGAACAAGAUUGUUUGCUCCAAGAUUGAUGGCGUUCUUUUUCUAGAACAAAGUGGUACAACUUGUAUUUUUUUUUCUUCUUUUGACUAAGAAGAGGUUGGGUAGACAAUGAUAUGGAGUUAUGGACCAACAUACACAUGUUUCUUUUGUAUACCUGCUACUUGUUGAGGUGUGGCCAUGGAGUAAAAAAAG